AGCAAAGUCAAAGUGCGGUCUAUAGAUUUCAACCUUACCGUACUCGGCAGGAAAUAUUGUACAUCGAGCUUUAGAAAGAGACUUCAGCUUCGUAUAGCGUUGUCUCUGUCACUCAUACCUGUGUGACGUUUUGCCGGUCUGAACGACAGAGACAUCGCUCUACGAAACCGUUAUCGCUUUCUAAAAGUCGAUGAACAAUAUUUUCUACCGGGUAGUUUUACUGUACAUUGUAUC